rnacentral:rRNA from 7 species
GGGUUGUGAGGUUAAGCGACUAAGCGUACACGGUGGAUGCCCUGGCAGUCAGAGGCGAUGAAGGGCGUGCUAAUCUGCGAUAAGCGCCGGUAAGGUGAUAUGAACCGUUAUAACCGGCGAUACCCGAAUGGGGAAACCCAGUGUGAUUCGUCACACUAUCAUUAACUGAAUCCAUAGGUUAAUGAGGCGAACCGGGGGAACUGAAACAUCUAAGUACCCCGAGGAAAAGAAAUCAACCGAGAUUCCCCCAGUAGCGGCGAGCGAACGGGGAGGAGCCCAGAGCCUGAAUCAGCAUGUGUGUUAGUGGAAGCGUCUGGAAAGGCGCGCGAUACAGGGUGACAGCCCCGUACACAAAAGCGCAUGUGCUGUGAGCUCGAUGAGUAGGGCGGGACACGUGGUAUCCUGUCUGAAUAUGGGGGGACCAUCCUCCAAGGCUAAAUACUCCUGACUGACCGAUAGUGAACCAGUACCGUGAGGGAAAGGCGAAAAGAACCCCGGCGAGGGGAGUGAAAAAGAACCUGAAACCGUGUACGUACAAGCAGUGGGAGCACAGGUUUACCUGUGUGACUGCGUACCUUUUGUAUAAUGGGUCAGCGACUUAUAUUCUGUAGCAAGGUUAACCGUAUAGGGGAGCCGGAGGGAAACCGAGUCUUAAUUGGGCGUUAAGUUGCAGGGUAUAGACCCGAAACCCGGUGAUCUAGCCAUGGGCAGGUUGAAGGUUGGGUAACACUAACUGGAGGACCGAACCGACUAAUGUUGAAAAAUUAGCGGAUGACCUGUGGCUGGGGGUGAAAGGCCAAUCAAACCGGGAGAUAGCUGGUUCUCCCCGAAAGCUAUUUAGGUAGCGCCUCGUGAAUUCAUCUCCGGGGGUAGAGCACUGUUUCGGCUAGGGGGCCAUCCCGGCUUACCAACCCGAUGCAAACUGCGAAUACCGGAGAAUGUUAUCACGGGAGACACACGGCGGGUGCUAACGUCCGUCGUGAAGAGGGAAACAACCCAGACCGCCAGCUAAGGUCCCAAAGUCAUGGUUAAGUGGGAAACGAUGUGGGAAGGCCCAGACAGCCAGGAUGUUGGCUUAGAAGCAGCCAUCAUUUAAAGAAAGCGUAAUAGCUCACUGGUCGAGUCGGCCUGCGCGGAAGAUGUAACGGGGCUAAACCAUGCACCGAAGCUGCGGCAGCGAACGUAUCACCCAAGACAACUUUACGGAGUUGACGAUUGACGGAGCGAAGCGACGUCAAAGCGUUCAUUAAAGUCGAGUUGGCUUAGGGAUACGUUCGUUGGGUAGGGGAGCGUUCUGUAAGCCUGUGAAGGUGUGUCGUGAGGCAUGCUGGAGGUAUCAGAAGUGCGAAUGCUGACAUAAGUAACGAUAAAGCGGGUGAAAAGCCCGCUCGCCGGAAGACCAAGGGUUCCUGUCCAACGUUAAUCGGGGCAGGGUGAGUCGACCCCUAAGGCGAGGCCGAAAGGCGUAGUCGAUGGGAAACGGGUUAAUAUUCCCGUACUUGGUGUUACUGCGAAGGGGGGACGGAGAAGGCUAUGUUGGCCGGGCGACGGUUGUCCCGGUUUAAGCGUGUAGGUGUGUGUUCCAGGUAAAUCCGGUUCACUUUAACACUGAGGCGUGACGACGAGGCACUACGGUGCUGAAGCAACAAAUGCCCUGCUUCCAGGAAAAGCCUCUAAGCAUCAGGUAACACGAAAUCGUACCCCAAACCGACACAGGUGGUCAGGUAGAGAAUACCAAGGCGCUUGAGAGAACUCGGGUGAAGGAACUAGGCAAAAUGGUGCCGUAACUUCGGGAGAAGGCACGCUGACACGUAGGUGAAGUGAUUUACUCAUGGAGCUGAAGUCAGUCGAAGAUACCAGCUGGCUGCAACUGUUUAUUAAAAACACAGCACUGUGCAAACACGAAAGUGGACGUAUACGGUGUGACGCCUGCCCGGUGCCGGAAGGUUAAUUGAUGGGGUCAGCGCAAGCGAAGCUCCUGAUCGAAGCCCCGGUAAACGGCGGCCGUAACUAUAACGGUCCUAAGGUAGCGAAAUUCCUUGUCGGGUAAGUUCCGACCUGCACGAAUGGCGUAAUGAUGGCCAGGCUGUCUCCACCCGAGACUCAGUGAAAUUGAACUCGCUGUGAAGAUGCAGUGUACCCGCGGCAAGACGGAAAGACCCCGUGAACCUUUACUAUAGCUUGACACUGAACAUUGAGCCUUGAUGUGUAGGAUAGGUGGGAGGCUUUGAAGUGUGGACGCCAGUCUGCAUGGAGCCGACCUUGAAAUACCACCCUUUAAUGUUUGAUGUUCUAACGUGGACCCGUAAUCCGGGUUGCGGACAGUGUCUGGUGGGUAGUUUGACUGGGGCGGUCUCCUCCUAAAGAGUAACGGAGGAGCACGAAGGUUGGCUAAUCCUGGUCGGACAUCAGGAGGUUAGUGCAAUGGCAUAAGCCAGCUUGACUGCGAGCGUGACGGCGCGAGCAGGUGCGAAAGCAGGUCAUAGUGAUCCGGUGGUUCUGAAUGGAAGGGCCAUCGCUCAACGGAUAAAAGGUACUCCGGGGAUAACAGGCUGAUACCGCCCAAGAGUUCAUAUCGACGGCGGUGUUUGGCACCUCGAUGUCGGCUCAUCACAUCCUGGGGCUGAAGUAGGUCCCAAGGGUAUGGCUGUUCGCCAUUUAAAGUGGUACGCGAGCUGGGUUUAGAACGUCGUGAGACAGUUCGGUCCCUAUCUGCCGUGGGCGCUGGAGAACUGAGGGGGGCUGCUCCUAGUACGAGAGGACCGGAGUGGACGCAUCACUGGUGUUCGGGUUGUCAUGCCAAUGGCACUGCCCGGUAGCUAAAUGCGGAAGAGAUAAGUGCUGAAAGCAUCUAAGCACGAAACUUGCCCCGAGAUGAGUUCUCCCUGAGACUUAGAGUCUCCUGAAGGAACGUUGAAGACGACGACGUUGAUAGGCCGGGUGUGUAAGCGCAGCGAUGCGUUGAGCUAACCGGUACUAAUGAACCGUGAGGCUUAACCUUACAACGCCGAAG